rnacentral:rRNA from 1 species
GAUGAACGCUGGCGGCGUGCCUAAUACAUGCAAGUCGAGCGAACAGACGAGGAGCUUGCUCCUCUGACGUUAGCGGCGGACGGGUGAGUAACACGUGGAUAACCUACCUAUAAGACUGGGAUAACUUCGGGAAACCGGAGCUAAUACCGGAUAAUAUAUUGAACCGCAUGGUUCAAUAGUGAAAGACGGUUUUGCUGUCACUUAUAGAUGGAUCCGCGCCGCAUUAGCUAGUUGGUAAGGUAACGGCUUACCAAGGCAACGAUGCGUAGCCGACCUGAGAGGGUGAUCGGCCACACUGGAACUGAGACACGGUCCAGACUCCUACGGGAGGCAGCAGUAGGGAAUCUUCCGCAAUGGGCGAAAGCCUGACGGAGCAACGCCGCGUGAGUGAUGAAGGUCUUUGGAUCGUAAAACUCUGUUAUUAGGGAAGAACAAAUGUGUAAGUAACUAUGCACGUCUUGACGGUACCUAAUCAGAAAGCCACAGCUAACUACGUG